rnacentral:rRNA from 1 species
CGCGUAGGCGGUUAUUUAAGUGAGAUGUGAAAUCCCUGGGCUUAACCUAGGAACUGCAUCUCAUACUGGAUAGCUAGAGUAUUGUAGAGGGUAGUGGAAUUUCCGGUGUAGCGGUGAAAUGCGUAGAGAUCGGAAGGAACACCAGUGGCGAAGGCGGCUACCUGGACAAAUACUGACGCUGAGGCGCGAAAGCGUGGGAGCAAACA